rnacentral:rRNA from 1 species
UACGUAGGUGACAAGCGUUGUCCGGAUUUACUGGGCGUAAAGAGCGCGCAGGCGGUCGUUCAAGUCGAGUGUGAAAGCCCCUGGCUCAACUGGGGAGGGUCACUCGAUACUGAUCGACUUGAAGGCAGGAGAGGGAAGCGGAAUUCCCGGUGUAGUGGUGAAAUGCGUAGAUAUCGGGGGGAAUACCAGUGGCGAAAGCGACUUCCUGGACCAAUACUGACGCUCAUGUGCGAAAGCGUGGGGAGCAAACAGG